CAAUUUUAUUUUGCGCAAGCGCACUCGUGUACAGUUUCUCAAAAUGGAGGAGCGGUAAUUUCAAUUUUUGAAGUUAGACACCGUUUUCAAUCGCUAAAUUGCAAUAUGUAUAAAUGAAAGUGACAAUGAUACUGAUGAAAAGUUGAGACACAGCUCUACAUUCCGUGUGCUUCUGGGAUUGCUCUUUGCACUAUUGACUGCAAAGAUUGCACUUCUUCAACUCCUUUAUUGCAAGUUCGCUUCAAGUUGGACCACCUCUGGAUGGUAAAGCAACUGGCAACGUCAUACAGAGACAGUAAGAAGUCACAAGAGAGUCCUAAACAGCCUUCAACCUCCGCUGCAUCUACCAAUCCAUGAUAUCCCCUCACAGCCCCACCAGUAUGAGCCGACCAGACAUCACAGUAAGCCAGGUGACACUCAACUGAUUGAUCCACUGAUUGCAUCUGCCAUCCACCAAUUCAUCAUGGCGCCUGACAGAGGUCACACCUGUUACAAGCUACUGGGCAUCCCUGCAAACCAAGCUGCAUGGUUGACAUUCAACAGACUAGUCCACUGAUUGCAUCUGUGGAGUAUUGAGUCAUCCACUAAUCCAUGAUCGCACCUGAUAGAAGUCACACCUGUAUGUGGCUACUGGACAUCCCUGCAAACCAAGCUACAUGAGUGACAUUCAACAGACUACAUGUAGUCCACUGAUUGCAUCUGCGGAGUAUUGAGCCAUCCACCAAUCCAUGAUCGCACCUGAUAGAGGCUACCAGACAUUCCUACAAAACCACGCCGCAUGAGUGACAUUCAACAGACUAGUCCACUGAUUGCAUCUGUGGAGUAUUGAGCCAUCCACCAAUCCAUGAUCGCACCUGAUAGAGGUUACUGGACAUCCCUACAAAACCACGCCGCAUGAGUGACAUUCAACAGACUAAUCCGCUGAAUGAUUUCAGCAUAUAUAUCUAUGAUAUGAGAGAGAUUUUCAACACCUCUUAUGAGAGACACUAAUUUGUGCACCUGAUUUCACCAAGGCCAAUCGAGGCCACUUUGUCAAGCCUAAUGAACUGAACCCAGUGUGAUCCAAGGACUUGAAAGACUCUAAGCCUCUUUAACUCAUCAACCACUGAGACAAUGUUGAACUGAUCCAGAACGACUUUUGAGACAAUUGGGAUAUUGAGCGUAAUGAACUCAAUCCAGUGUGGUCUAAGAACUUGAAAGAAUUUUACGCGUUCUGAACUCAUCGACCACAGAGCAAAUGUUGAACUGAUCCAGAAAGACUCUUUACACCAUGGGGAUAUUUCCCAACAGAAACUAUUUAAAUUUGUUCAUGACAAAAAUGCAGGCCUGCCAAAUGCCAACGCGUCCACCCAAAAAAGGACUGGUGUCUCACUCGGUUGCAGCCAGUAAAAUAUUUUAGACAUUUUCCUUGAAAUUUCUAAAAGCGCAGUUCAUCUAAGUGAUGAAGCACAUGCGCAUGUACUGUAAACAAAGUUUCGUUCAUCAUUCUUGUUAAUCAUUAAUGUUCAAGUGCGCCUCUGAAAUUCAGAAAUGUGUGAUAUUUGGUGCUUGUUAAGAAAUAUUCACAUCAACGACUGAGAUGUGUGCUAAAAUAUUUGCAAAAGCCAUAAGACUGCAGCAUUGGCAGGCCUGUUAUUCAUUUAAUAUUUUAGUUUGAGAUGGGGUUAUCAUUGCCCCACAAAUAUUACUUAAUCAGCCCUCACUCAAACUCUCAAAAAUAUUGAAAUGUCUGAUUUUGAGAUACAUAUCUUUUCUGUUCAAAACAAAUCUGUUAUAAAAUGAUUGGAAAAAACAAAAGAUAUUACACAUGUUUUCCCUCAGGAAAAUAUGUCUUUAGAAAAUGAGCACGUGCAGUAUUGAGUUAAAAAAAAAAAGAUCCUAGUUUUAGUGGUCAAAAAUGUUGAAUGUCCUAUAAUGGGAGACUUUCAAAUUUUCAAACUCAAAAAAAAAACCCAAAGCGGACUUUUGUGAGGGCUGGUUGAGUUUAAACUUGUCUUAAUUGUAUAAAAUGAACAUUGCUUUGGAAAAACAUUGUUUGUUCCAUUACUGGAUGCAGGAUUGGUAACGACAAAAAUCAAGUAUCAAAAUCAAUUUCAGAAAAUCUUUAGGUCUCAUAGAAUAUAAAAAAAAUCUAGCCGGGAAUAUCUCAUUCUUACAUACCUCCCGAACAUAGACAUGAACCAGAGGUCUACAUGUACAUGGAGAAACUUUCAGAAACAAUCUUUUUCUCCAUAUUUAAACAUAGAACGUACUUAUCUUAAAUUACUCCAUAAAUACACUGAUGUUUCCCAAAACCUGAGAAAACUCAAUUGUCUUGCUAAAAGAGCCAAAAUGUAUCGAUGUGUGUCGCAGCGCAGAAACUUUUUCUCUAAUAUCCAUCCUUUAACCGCUCGCGCACAAAAGUGUAGAUGUACCAAUAUUGGAAAGGUUUGCCAAAAACAAAAUCUUUGACUAGGUUCACCAAUCCUGCCUCCAACCUUUUUAUAUCAAGUAUGAUUAGCACUGGCACAUUACAAUCUAUAUGUAGUGCAAAUUUCAAAAAUGUAAAAAUCUCUUUUUAAUUCUGAACAAUCAUUCUCAGCUUUUACCAAGAACCUGAAUUUUCCACAAUCUAUCAACAUUUCUUGAUUUAAGAAUCAACAAACCUUUCUGAAAACACCGAAGCAUGAUUCCCAUGAGUAAAAGCUGUAUGGCAGUUUAUGUUCACAAAACUCCUGGAAUUUGAUUUAAAAUAAUGACCGACAUUCAGUUGCAGUUGUUAUGAUGCACUUAAAAUACACAUGUAUACUUAAGCCUUAUUUGUUAUGGGGUUUCUGUGAAAAGAUAGACGUAGCACUUCUUCACUUUGAAACAAAACUUUAAACAGUUACGGAUGUCCUUAUGGUUAUGUGCCAGUGCUGAUUGUACAUUUGCAUUUUGUAUUUUCUGUUGGCUCAGUUCUAAAAGAAUUUAGACACCAAACCCUUGAAAUACUCAAAAUCGAAAAGCCAGAAUAACCACCAAUCCUUCUUGCAUCCAAAGGUAUCCAGUAUUCUCCAGAAGAUGGACAAGACACACUUUUUGAAGGUUUCUGAAUUUACCGGUUCUAUUAUAGAACCUCAAAUCUAAAUGUACAAAUGCUGCCAAAGGUUGCGCAAAAAAGCUUCGUUGUCAUUGCUUAUCAGUGUGUAAAGCACUUUAUCUAUGUAUCUUUCAAACCUGUCAUACCUUUUGAAACCAAAACAGAGUUGAACAUUUCUCAAUUUCAGAGAUAUCCUUUUCCAAAAUUUGCGCUAAAAGCUUCAUUGUGAUCGCUUAUCUGUGUCUUUCAAAACUUUCAUACCUUUUUUGAAACCAAAACACUGUUGAAAAAUUUCUCCAUCCAACUGAUAUUCUAUUCCAAAAGUUGUUCUUAAUCAAGAAGCUGUUAGAACUGAGCCAGCAUUUUAAAACUAUAUUUCAUGUCAGCAUUUUAAUAUUAUAUUUCAUGCCAAGUGACUAAUGGAACAAAUUUAAUGUUUUUAAACCAACAGGAAAAAUGUAAUGAUACCGGGGUGUAAACCCCACACGCCCAGGGUUCCCCCUGGUGCGUGUCCCUGCGCCCCCGCCCACGGGCGCCAGCAGGUCCGGCGAGUUGCCCAUCAUCUGCAUCGGCUUGUGAUCUGUUGUUGAAGGGUACAUGUACGAACUUCCCAAUCGUCUUGGAUGCUCCAAGUUGGCUUCAACAUGGUAAGGAUCCUCUGAACUCUGACAAUUGGUUUACUCUUUCCGCAAAGGAGAUGUCAUUCUGGCUGUUUCUUACCGAGUGUUACUGUGGAUGUUGUGUAUCUGACCAUCAUUCCUGAGAUUGCUAAUGUAGAGAUCCCUGGCAUCUACUCUAAAACGUCUUCACUUGAAAUUUCAAGAGUUCCUCUGCCAUUGUGGUGUUUGAUCCAUGAAAAUGAAGCGUUUAUCAGUGGUUACUUUUUGUGAGUUAUCUCUGAUGUUUUUCAUUGUAGGAUUUCUAGUCAAUUAUCUCUAGCACUAUUUCAUGCGGAUAACAUUUGUUGGUACAGUGUACAUGUGUACUAGUACAUCAUCUCUGCUUGUUGCUCAAAAGACAUUCAAAUUGGCUCGUUCAGUGCCUUUCACUCUAACGAGUCUGAAUGUUUCACCAGAGUGUGAACCACAUUAGAAUGAAUGAAAAAGUCACAAGAUACAUGUAGUCACUACAUGUAUAUUCCCCUAUCCAUGUUAAGCACAACUGUGAUACAUUGUAUUUUCAAAUCUCAAACGAAAAAAAAAGUACAAAAUGAAGUAAAACAAAGAACAAUUAUUGAAAGCAGCCGAGUACUGCUCACUUGCAAAUUACUGUCAGUAACUUCUUCAAAGUUUGGAAAAUUACGCGAAUUUUCCUAUUUAAAAAGAAAAAGUCACUCAAAUAAAACAAUUAUUUCUGGAUUCAUUCCCGUCAAAUUGCAUUUCCACUUGACUGCAAGAAAUACUCAAUUCUGACUGUCGUCACAUUUGUGAAUUCAAACAAAAUAAUUGGGGAAUCCCCCAAUUUAAACUUGACCAUUCAAAAAAAUGAAGGGUCUAAAGAAAAGUUCUAAACUGGUGAUCAUAAUCAAUACUCCAUCAGAAUUUUGCUGUUGGAAGAAAUCAAUUUUUGUCUUGCUGAAAUUAAUUUCGAAAAGUGCAACUUCUCUAUCUGAGAAAGCACAGUGCCAACUUAUCUUUUAACAGUUUGAGAAUUUCCAGCCAAAAAACACCAAAAAGCAGCCAUUUUUGCACUAGAAGAAGGCAAAAGACCAAACUCUAACCCAUCCUAGGGAGAGGAAGUCCUGGCGUGCAGAGAGGGAGAACCAUGCUACUCACCGACUCGGUGGACAAUGUGCCCAGGCCAUUCAACUUGGACAAAUGAGGGGCCACACACUUGUUUGAAAAUUGCUCCCGAACUUUGAAUCUUCAAAGAGAAAUUGCUCUUUGUGUUAAAAAACCAGAGACCUCUAUUUGCACAGGGCGAUGCAACCACUUACAUGGAAAUUAGCAUUGAUGUCUUUCACUCAUGCUCAUCUGUAGCAUAAAAACUAUCAGAUUCUUGUUUUGUUUUAGAGAAAUCUGUAAGAAGAGACAAACUUUCCAAAACGUUUUUAGACAACUGUUUUAGACAGGAAAAGAAACAUUCGAUUUGUCACACAACUUUUGACAAACAGGCUAAAAAGAAAGCAGUAUUCAAUGCACACUGUCUGCUCGAAAAAUCCUCAUGGUCUCAAAUUGGUCUCUGAAAGAGAAAGGUUUUGAAAUUUGUUGGGAGAAUUUAAAAAAAGUGUGGCCCCAAAAUCCUUGGUAAUGGCCUGGGGGAGAUUGGGUCGCAGUCUGCCUGUCAGUGUCCUACCCAGAAACUGUGGCAUCAGGCACGGGGGGCCAGUCCCGAGAACUCGUUCCAUGGUAAGUUUAAUUGAAGUUUGUAGAAUUAAUUCAUGCACAAUUGUUGAUACAUCCUCAUGUGUUGCUUGAUAAACCCAAGGUGUAUAUCUCAUGGCUUAGGAGUAGGGCUUAGGGCUGUAUAAAUGACGGCGGUAAUACGCAGACAGUCUUCAAUCCGUGGUGUAGCCAGGGGGAGGGGCGGGGCUAGGGAAGGGGGACCCCCAGCAAGCAGACCUCCAAGGGGGAGCCUGCAGUACGACAAAUCCUUAUUUUUAUUUGUAAAGAAUGCAGACAGCCAAUUAUGACUGUAUUACCUGAAAAAUCAGGCAAAAAACAGAUAUUGAGACAGUUUUCUCUCUUUCAAUUAAAAAGAUGUGAUCAGUCCAACGUCUUUUUGAAUAUCACUCUGAGCUUUUCUCCCACAAAGCCAUUUGACCGCAUGGCUAUUAACAGUUAUGUUGACGGAAAACAAGGCUUUCAAAAAAGAAAAAGCAGCAAAUGCAGAGCAUGAUGUUCUGAUCGUAGUUACACGUAAAUGCUGAUUUGCCAGUUUUCAGCAGAAAAUCGUCACUCAAAAAGAGUGAUUUUUGCAUCAUUCAUUGAUUGCAAAUAUCUUGA